AGGGGCCGCGGUAAUUCCAGCUCCAAUAGCGUAUAUUAAAGUUGUUGCAGUUAAAAAGCUCGUAGUUGAAUUUCGGGAUCAACAUGUCGGUCGUGCCUCCGGUACGUACUGGCAUCGUUGAUUUCUACCUUCUGACGAACCAUGAUGUCAUUAAUUUGGUGUCAUGGGGAAUCAGGACCGUUACUUUGAAAAAAUUAGGGUGUUUAAAGCAGGCACACGCUUGAAUACAUUAGCAUGGAAUAAUGAAAUAGGACGUUUGACCCUAUUUUGUUGGUUUCUAGGAUCGACGUAAUGAUUAAUAGGGAUAGUUGGGGGCAUUAGUAUUCAAUUGUCAGAGGUGAAAUUCUUGGAUUUAUUGAAGACUAACUACUGCGAAAGCAUUUGCCAAGGAUGUUUUCAUUAAUCAAGAACGAAAGUUAGGGGAUCGAAGACGAUCAGAUACCGUCGUAGUCUUAACCAUAAACUAUGCCGACUAGGGAUCGGAUGAUGUUAAUUUUUUAAUGACUCAUUCGGCGCCUUA
rnacentral:rRNA from 1 species